CCUCCUGAAAGACAUGGGGGAGAGAGAGAGAGACAAAGAGGGAGAGAGAGAGAGGGAGGGCUAGUUAGAGAGCGGACCGCAUUUCUAUAAGCCACUCUCGAGCACGCUAACAAGGAGAACUAAGCUGAGUAACCUGCCUGUUAUCCAGACAGAAAAAACAGCCUGCCUUUUAUCCUGCUGAACAAAAAACAGCUAUUCUCAUGAUAAUGAACAAAGACGGCCAGCCAGCGUGUCAUGCAUUACUGAAGGUCAACACUUACUGGAUAGAGUCGUGUUCAGCAUCAGCUAGGCUCGAUUGGGAGAAACAGGCGCAUACGAAGGAGCCCAUAGAACCCAGCUUAGCUCACUCCCUCUCACCACCAAUGGAGGAGAGAGAAGGAAAAGUAAGGGUAUGAGGAGAGAAAGUUUUUAAGAAUAAAACUCUUGAGCUUCAGCCAUGUGACUGGCCCAGGUUCCUCACAGCUCAGUUUCCAGAGCAGCUCUGACCUACAUGGAAGACAAGAGCGCCGCUGUAUCCCUCUCGACAGUGCUGCCGAGCUAGCCAAGGACACAGGUCUCUGCAACUCAAGGAGCAGCCCCAACGGGAACACUUCGUCCUCCAGAUGUAGAGGACACAGCUUCUCAGGAGGGCUGAGACUGUCCAGGGAGCUAUCUGCCUUUAGAUUGUUGCUGCUCUUCCAUUCUUCUUCCCCUUCCUUCAACUCUGCUACAUUCAAGCUCCCUGGUCGGCUUUCUAAAAAUCGGAGUUUCUUGAAAGCCUUCUCCCUCAGCUGGCCACC